AUUGAACGCUGGCGGCAGGCCUAACACAUGCAAGUCGAGCGGAUGAAGGGAGCUUGCUCCUGGAUUCAGCGGCGGACGGGUGAGUAAUGCCUAGGAAUCUGCCUGGUAGUGGGGGAUAACGUCCGGAAACGGGCGCUAAUACCGCAUACGUCCUGAGGGAGAAAGUGGGGGAUCUUCGGACCUCACGCCAUCAGAUGAGCCUAGGUCGGAUUAGCUAGUUGGUGGGGUAAAGGCCUACCAAGGCGACGAUCCGUAACUGGUCUGAGAGGAUGAUCAGUCACACUGGAACUGAGACACGGUCCAGACCCCUACGGGAGGCAGCAGUGGGGGAUAUUGGACAAUGGGCGAAAGCCUGAUCCAGCCAUGCCGCGUGUGUGAAGAAGGUCUUCGGAUUGUAAAGCACUUUAAGUUGGGAGGAAGGGCAGUAAGUUAAUACCUUGCUGUUUUGACGUUACCAACAGAAUAAGCACCGGCUAACUUCGUG
rnacentral:rRNA from 1 species